CGCGUGAAGGAUGAAGGCCUCUGGGUCGUAAACUUCUUUUAUUAGGGAAGAAACCUCAAGAUGCGUCUUGAGCUGACGGUACUUAAUGAAUAAGGAUCGGCUAACUUCGUGCCAGCAGCCGCGGUAAGACGAAGGAUCCAAGCGUUGUCCGGAUUUACUGGGUUUAAAGGGUGCGUAGGCGGAAAAUUAAGUCAGUGGUGAAAGCCCGCAGCUCAACUGUGGAACUGCCAUUGAAACUGGUUUUCUUGAAUAUAGCUGAGGCAGAUGGAAUAUAACAUGUAGCGGUGAAAUGCUUAGAUAUGUUAUAGAACACCGAUUGCGAAGGCAGUCUGCUAAACUAUUAUUGACGCUGAGGCACGAAAGCGUGGGGAGCGAACAGGAUUAGAUACCCUGGUAGUCCACGCCCUAAACGUUGAUUACUCGCUGUUGGCGAUAUACUGUCAGUGGCUAAGCGAAAGCAUUAAGUAAUCCACCUGGGAAGUACGACCGCAAGGUUUGAAACUCAAAGGAAUUGACGGGGGCCCGCAACA
rnacentral:rRNA from 1 species